UAUGACCUCAUCACAGAGGUUCUACACCUGCGCAAGGUAACUAUGACCUCAUCACAGAGGUUCUACACCUGCGCAAGGUAACUAUGACCUCAUCACAGAGGUUCUACACCUGCGCAAGGUAACUAUGACCUCAUCACAGAGGUUCUACACCUGCGCAAGGUAACUAUGACCUCAUCACAGAGGUUCUACACCUGCGCAAGGUAACUAUGACCUCAUCACAGGGGUUCUACUCCUGCCCAAGGUAACUAUGACCUCAUCACAGAGGUUCUACUCCUGCCCAAGGUAACUAUGACCUCAUCACAGGGGUUCUACUCCUGCCCAAGGUAACUAUGACCUCAUCACAGGGGUUCUACUCCUGCCCAAGGUAACUAUGACCUCAUCACAGGGGUUCUACACCUGCGCAAGGUAACUAUGACCUCAUCACACGGGUUCUACACCAGCGUGCAAGGUAACUAUGACCUCAUCACACGGGUUCUACACCAGCGUGCAAGGUAACUAUGACCUCAUCACACGGGUUCUACACCAGCGUGCAAGGUAACUAUGACCUCAUCACACGGGUUCUACACCAGCGUGCAAGGUAACUAUGACCUCAUCACAGAGGUUCUACACCAGCGUGCAAGGUAACUAUGACCUCAUCACACGGGUUCUACACCAGCGUGCAAGGUAACUAUGACCUCAUCACACGGGUUCUACACCAGCGUGCAAGGUAACUAUGACCUCAUCACAGAGGUUCUACACCAGCGUGCAAGGUAACUAUGACCUCAUCACACGGGUUCUACACCAGCGUGCAAGGUAACUAUGACCUCAUCACACGGGUUCUACACCAGCGUGCAAGGUAACUAUGACCUCAUCACACGGGUUCUACACCAGCGUGCAAGGUAACUAUGACCUCAUCACACGGGUUCUACACCAGCGUGCAAGGUAACUAUGACCUCAUCACAGGGGUUCUACACCAGCG